rnacentral:rRNA from 1 species
AUUGAACGCUGGCGGCAGGCCUAACACAUGCAAGUCGAGCGGAUGAAGGGAGCUUGCUCCUGGAUUCAGCGGCGGACGGGUGAGUAAUGCCUAGGAAUCUGCCUGGUAGUGGGGGAUAACGUCCGGAAACGGGCGCUAAUACCGCAUACGUCCUGAGGGAGAAAGUGGGGGUUCUUCGGACCUCACGCUAUCAGAUGAGCCUAGGUCGGAUUAGCUAGUUGGUGGGGUAAAGGCCUACCAAGGCGACGAUCCGUAACUGGUCUGAGAGGAUGAUCAGUCACACUGGAACUGAGACACGGUCCAGACUCCUACGGGAGGCAGCAGUGGGGAAUAUUGGACAAUGGGCGAAAGCCUGAUCCAGCCAUGCCGCGUGUGUGAAGAAGGUCUUCGGAUUGUAAAGCACUUUAAGUUGGGAGGAAGGACAGUAAGUUAAUACCUUGCUGUUUUGACGGUACCAACAGAAUAAGCACCGGCUAACUUCGUG